rnacentral:rRNA from 1 species
AUUGAACGCUGGCGGCAUGCCUUACACAUGCAAGUCGAACGGCAGCACGGGAGCAAUCCUGGUGGCGAGUGGCGAACGGGUGAGUAAUGUAUCGGAACGUGCCCAGUCGUGGGGGAUAACGCAGCGAAAGCUGUGCUAAUACCGCAUACGAUCUAAGGAUGAAAGCGGGGGAUCGCAAGACCUCGCGCGAUUGGAGUGGCCGAUAACAGAUUAGCUAGUUGGUGGGGUAAAGGAUCACCAAGGCGACGAUCUGUAGCUGGUCUGAGAGGACGACCAGCCACACUGGAACUGAGACACGGUCCAGACUCCUACGGGAGGCAGCAGUGGGGAAUUUUGGACAAUGGGCGCAAGCUUGAUCCAGCAAUGCCGCGUGCAGGAUGAAGGCCUUCGGGUUGUAAACUGCUUUUGUACGGAGCGAAAAGGUUCUCUCUAAUACAGGGGGCUCAUGACGGUACCGUAAGAAUAAGCACCGGCUAACUACGUGCCAGCAGCCGCCGUAAGAC